CACUGGAAUGUAGAAUGUUUAUAUUUUACAGUUCCACAUGUCAAUUUGACUGCUGCAGUUUUGUAUAGGCCCAAUUCAUAUAAAACUGACAUGUUUCGACAGCGGCUAUUACAUGUAAUUGAAGAGAUAGAAAAGCAUCCAGGACAGAAAAUGAUAAUAGGAGACUUUAACGAAGACAUUGUUACUUCAUCUACGGUUCUGAAAUUAAUGGAACAACAUGGAUACAAUCAACAUGUACAAAAUCCAACUACAGAAAAGGGAACAUUAAUAGAUCAUGUUUAUACGAAAGACAUGGAAGGCAUAAGUGUCAAUGUUGUGCAAACUUACUAUAGUUUUCAUCAGGCAAUACUCAUUUCACUGUUGUGAUCAAAUAUACAGGUGCUGGUCAUAUAAUUAGAAUAUCAUCAAAAAUUUGAUUUAUUUCACUAAUUCCAUUCAAAAAGUGAAAGUUGUAUAUUAUAUUCAUUCAUUAAACACAGAAUGAUAUAUUUCAAAUGUUUAUUUCUUUUAAUUUUGAUGAUUAUAACUGAAAACUAAGGAAAAUCACAAAUUCAGUAUCUCAGAAAACUAGAAUAUUGUGAAAAGGUUCAAUAUUGAAGACACCUGGUACCACACUCUAAUCAGCUAAUUAACUCAAAACACCUGCAAAUGCCUUUAAAUGGUCUCUCAGUCUAGUUCUAUAGGCUACACAAUCAUGGGGAAGACUGCUGACUUGACAGUUGUCCAAAAGACGACCAUUGAUACCUUGCACAAGGAGGGCAAGACACAAAAGGUCAUUGCAAAAGAGGCUGGCUGUUCACAGAGCUCUGUGUCCAAGCACAUUAAUUAACUCUAACAGCUGAGUUAGUCCAUAUAACCCAAAAUUUCAUUAAAACAAUCCAGCAUUUUUUGGAGUGUACCUAUACCGUCCCACACAUAUUACCAUAUCUACUGUCUAUUGCUUGUUCAUUAUUCAUGACAUACUUUCUUCCAGAUUAUGGCUUCCUACACCUCACCAUCAAAAUUCCCCAAAAUACACCACCCUGAGACUGAAUCAAUUCAUGACCGCCUCCAACUCAUUGCUUACAAAUGCCAAGAUCCAUCUGUCAACCCCAUCGAAACACCACAACUUUGUAAUCUAGGCACUGAUAUCAUGAAAAUCAUGUCACACUGUGACAACCAAAACAAGGCUCUCCAGCAAUGUGUCACUACACUUCGUUCAGAACUACAAGACAUGAAAAAAAAAACUCUCAGAAGCUCUAACUUCUGCAGAAAUCAACACUGCUACCCAAUACUUUUUCAAAGAUGGUAAUUAUUUCUCACUUCCUAAUUUGUACUCAUACAUCUUACCUUUUCUGUACACUUGUUCUUUACAAUGGCAAUUAAACCUACAUGUUUCCUUUUACAGAACAAUGUGACAUGUCCUCACAGACGGAGCAUGUCCCUUCAACAUUACCUGAACACUUACAUGAGAAUAACAACUAUCAAGGUAAUAAACACUCCCACUCCAAUAUACUGUAAUUCA
ensembl:lncRNA